rnacentral:misc_RNA from 1 species
GGAGUUGGUAGCUGCCGGAAUUGGUAGAUCUGGUGGUCCGGGAGCUUUUGAUCGCUGAUCGGAAUGGAGGCGAGCGCCGGCCUCGUCGCCGGCUCCCAUAACCGGAACGAGCUUGUCGUUAUCCGCCGGGAAGGGGAAUCUGGGCCGCGGCCGCUGCAGCAUCUCAGCGGCCAGAUUUGCCAGAUUUGCGGGGAUGACGUCGGGCUCACCCGCGACGGGGAGCUUUUUGUCGCCUGCAACGAAUGUGCCUUCCCGGUGUGCCGAACUUGCUAUGAGUACGAGAGGGGUGAGGGUAAUCAGGUCUGUCCGCAGUGUAAGACUAGGUACAAGCGGCUCAAGGGGUGUGCGAGAGUUGCCGGAGAUGAUGAAGAAGAUGAUGUGGAUGAUCUGGAGAAUGAAUUUAGUUUUAAGGGGAGGGAGAGGCAUGAUAUGCAGUACAUGGCUGAGGCGAUGCUGCAGGGGCAGAUGAGGUAUGGGCGCGGGAGCGACGUCGACAUGCCGCAAGUUGUUCAGACGAUACCGAGUGUUCCGCUGCUCACGAAUGGCCAGAUGGUUGAUGAUAUUCCGCCGGAGCAGCAUGCUUUGGUGCCGUCUUUCAUGGGAGGGGGAGGGAAGAGGAUUCACCCUCUUCCGUUCUCGGAUCCUGGCCUUCCUGUGAACUCGAGAUCCAUGGAUCCAUCCAAGGAUCUUGCUGCUUAUGGAUAUGGGAGUGUGGCGUGGAAGGAGAGGAUGGAACAAUGGAAGCAGAAGCAGGAAAAAAUGCAGGUCACGAGGAAUGAAAAUGGUGGUAGAGAUUGGGACAAUGAUGGUGAUGAUCCGGAAGUGCCAUUAAUGGAUGAAGGUAGACAACCAUUGUCAAGAAAGCUGCCUCUCCCUUCUAGUCAAAUCAAUCCCUAUAGAAUGAUCAUCAUGAUUCGGCUAGUAGUUGUUGGAUUUUUCUUUCACUACCGGGUCUUACAUCCCGUCAAUGACGCAUACCCGUUGUGGCUUAUUUCUGUCAUCUGUGAAAUAUGGUUUGCCGUUUCGUGGAUUCUUGAUCAGUUUCCAAAGUGGCUGCCAAUUGAAAGGGAAACUUAUCUC